CCGCCCCCGACGACAAGGUAGCCAGUUGAGGCUGCCUUCCUCUUACGAGGAUAGUCGGGGGCGUUUUA
rnacentral:ncRNA from 1 species